UACGGAGGGGGCUAGCGUUGUUCGGAAUUACUGGGCGUAAAGCGUACGUAGGCGGCUUUGCAAGUUAGAGGUGAAAGCCCGGGGCUCAACUCCGGAAUUGCCUUUAAGACUGCAUCGCUUGAAUCAUGGAGAGGUGAGUGGAAUUCCGAGUGUAGAGGUGAAAUUCGUAGAUAUUCGGAAGAACACCAGUGGCGAAGGCGACUCACUGGACAUGUAUUGACGCUGAGGUACGAAAGCGUGGGGAGCAAACAGG
rnacentral:rRNA from 1 species